GCAUUACACAUACUAUGCCGUUCCAAGAGCUCUGCAAAAGCAUUGGGCACAGUUUCCCAAGAGGCGUCCCUGUGAUUUAAUUUUUUCAGUUAUCUAGACUCAAUGGCAUAGAAAGGAUAUAGCAAAUUGUACCAGUACCAAAAAAAGGGCACUAAAUUAUGCUUCAAAAAUGAUAUUUUUUAUUUCCAUUGUUGUUAAAUACAUGUUCGAACAUUUACAAACACAAAA